rnacentral:rRNA from 1 species
GAGUUUGAUCGUGGCUCAGAUUGAACGCUGGCGGCAUGCCUUACACAUGCAAGUCGAACGGCAGCAUGAUCUAGCUUGCUAGAUUGAUGGCGAGUGGCGAACGGGUGAGUAAUACAUCGGAACGUGCCCUGUAGUGGGGAUAACUAGUCGAAAGAUUAGCUAAUACCGCAUACGACCUGAGGGUGAAAGUGGGGGACCGCAAGGCCUCAUGCUAUAGGAGCGGCCGAUGUCUGAUUAGCUAGUUGGUGGGGUAAAGGCCCACCAAGGCGACGAUCAGUAGCUGGUCUGAGAGGACGAUCAGCCACACUGGGACUGAGACACGGCCCAGACUCCUACGGGAGGCAGCAGUGGGGAAUUUUGGACAAUGGGCGAAAGCCUGAUCCAGCAAUGCCGCGUGUGUGAAGAAGGCC